rnacentral:rRNA from 1 species
CAAUAGCGUAUAUUUAAGUUGUUGCAGUUAAAAAGCUCGUAGUUGGAUUUCGGAUGGGACUUGCCGGUCCGUCGUUUCGAUGUGCACUGGCCAGUCCUAUCUUGUUGUCGGGGACUAGCUCCUGGGCUUCACUGUCCGGGACUAGGAGCUGACGAGGUUACUUUGAGUAAAUUAGAGUGUUCAAAGCAAGCCUACGCUCUGAAUACAUUAGCACGGAAUAACACGAUAGGACUCUGGCUUAUCUUGUUGGUCUGUGAGACCAGAGUAAUGAUUAAGAGGGACAGUCGGGGGCAUUCGUAUUUCAUUGUCAGAGGUGAAAUUCUUGGAUUUAUGAAAGACGAACUUCUGCGAAAGCAUUUGUCAAGGAUGUUUUCAUUAA